UACGUAGGGGGCAAGCGUUGUCCGGAUUCAUUGGGCGUAAAGAGCGUGUAGGCGGCCAGGUAGGUCGGCUGUGAAAACUGGAGGCUCAACCCCUAGACGUCGAUGGAAACCAUCUGGCUAGAGUCCGGAAGAGGAGAGUGGAAUUCCUGGUGUAGCGGUGAAAUGCGCAGAUAUCAGGAAGAACACCCGUGGCGAAGGCGGCUCUCUGGGACGGUACUGACGCUGAGACGCGAAAGCGUGGGGAGCGAACAGG
rnacentral:rRNA from 1 species